AAAGAAAUCAAAUAUAAAAAAUGUAUAUAAAAGUUUACAAAAAAUAUAAAAAAUGUAUAUAAAAGUUUACAUUAAUAAUAUUAAAAAAAAAACCGUUUACAUUAGAAUAUAUCUAUUGCAAAUAUAUCUAUUACCCAUAGAUUUACUAGAAUAGAUUGCUUAUGAGGUGGAAAAACGGUAGUGGAAGUAUCCGUCAAUGAGAAAAGGAUAACUGUCGUUAAUGUGAGUUGAUAUCUCUUUCUAAUGCAUAAUAGUGGGGAAGCAUAGUGACCAAUAACGAUGUCAGAGCGUGAGCGUGUUGUCAUAGUAUGCGUAGCGCGCAUACUCUGACACCGUUAUUGGUCGCUAUGCUUUCCCACCAUUCUGCAUUAGAAAGAAAUAGCAACUCAUAUUAACGACAGUUAUCCUUUACUCAGUGACGGAUAUCCCCACUACCUUCAUGAGCAGUCUAUAGUAAGUCUAUGCUAUUAUCCCACAAAAAAUGACACAAGUCAAAAUUUUCGAAUUUUACAUUAUGUGAUUACAUUCUAGAUACAUCAACUUUCAGUUAGAAUACAAAUUAAAUUCAAAAUUUUUUUAAAAAAAGAAAAACAAGAAAACAAAUCCAAAGCGAGAUUAGCAAAAUUUUACGUCAUUUUCUAAAAUAAAGUCUUAUCUUCUAAAAAAAUUGAGAAAAACUGAUCUUUUAUAUUAAAAACAAUAAAAUAAAUAAAAAAUGAUAAAAGUGUAGAUCAUUCGAUAAGACUUACAUUAGAAGUCUCUUUCGUACUAAAAAUGUGUACUUUAAAAGAUUAAAUAAAGUCCUACAGUCAUGACUUUCCUAAUAAACAGUUUUUAAUAAAUAGUUUCAUUAGAAAACUAACAAAAUUUGUAAUUAAGUUUAUUCAAUUUAAUUUUAUUCAACUUAUGCUUAUAAUAGUCUUGAUAAAAGUCUGGAUAAAAUUUAAUUAAUUUAUUGAUUAAUAAUUAUGUCUAUAAAUUUUGUUCUUUAUUAUAACAAAUAAUUAAAAUGUUUUUAGUCACCUUGAAAUAACUUUUAGUCAAUUAAAUUUUUAGUCAAAUAAAAUAAAGUAAAUCAAUUAAAAUAUAUUAUUAUAUGUAAUUAUAAUUAUCAUAAUUUAAACGUAAAUUGAGAAUGAUUAACUAUUUCUGAUUUUAAAAAUUAAUUUUUAGUUAAUAAUUUUAGUUAAUAAUUAUAAAUUUUACUUUAUAUUUUUUGCUAAAAUAAUAUAACUAAUAAAACAUUUUUUCGACUAUUUUUUCGAUUUAAAUCUUAAAUAUCUUUUCAAUAUGUCAAACACAUGUUUUAAUGAAUUGUAAAUCGCCCAACUGUCUGCAUCAGAUCUUAGUGGUGAAUAUAAUUUUUCUAUUAAAUUAAAUUUCUUAGCUUUAACACAUUUUUAAGUUUGUAAUAGUUUGAAUAAAUAUAUUUUUUGACAUACAACUAAAAAUUAUAAUAUACAAUUAAUUAUUAUUUAAAUUAACGGAGUUCGAUUUUAUUUUAUUAUAAUACAGAAUCACAAAAUUUUUUUCAUUUUGUGUCAAAAACCAAAGGAGAUGCUCUAUAUAAAUUUCGAGGCGCUGAACUCAAAUCUGUUGCUCGUUUUGCUCCAACACAUCAGGUUUUUUGUAAAUAACAAAAAAAUGUUAUUGUUAAUAUCUAUUAACAUUUCUAAUAGGCAUUAAUUUAAUUCUCAACUCCACGUUUUUUCAGUUUAACAAUUUCACUUAUAAACAAAUCUUUGACACACCCAUGGGUUCCCCACUAUCACUUAUUAUUACCAAUAUCAUAUUACAAGAUUUUAAAAAAGAUUAUAAACUCGUUACCUUGUCACUUACCUUUUUAUUUUAGAUAUGUAGACGACAUUUUAAUAGCUGCGCCAAAAGAUAAAUUAUAUAAAAUAUGUUAAAUUUGUAAUUCUAACAUCAUCCAUUAAAUCACAAAAAAGAUAUAUAAUAUUCGGGAUGACAGACAAAGUACUACAACUAUCCGAUCCAAAAUUUCAUCAAAAAAACUUAAUCCUAAUGAAUGAAACAUUAAUAAACAAUUGCUAUCCAUUAAACUUCAUAUUUUCAAUGAUCAAUAGAAGGAUCAAAAAACAUUUAUUCACUAAUUGUAAUAAAAAUAAGUCUGAUAACAAAGAAAAUAGUAGAAAAGAAAAUAAUACUUCACAAUCCCAUACAUAAAAAAUGUCUCAGAAAAAUUUCUUUUUCUAAAUUCCUUAAAAGGGUGCAAAAUAACAUACUCGGUAAACAACAAACUAAAUAAAUUUAUAAAGACAGGCAAAGAUAUUCUUAAACCGACGGAACAAUGCAGUGUUGUAUAUCCAAUUUCUUGACACGAUUGCAAAGCCUCAUAUGUAGGCCAAACAAAAAAAAAUUAAAAACAAGAAUAAAGAAACAUAAAACAGACAUUAAUAGAAACUGUAUAUCCUCGAUUUCAAACCAUAGAUUAGAAUUAGAACAUAAUUUUGAAUGGGACAAUGUAGCGAUACUAGAUAGGGAGCCAAAUUAUAUAAAAAGAUUAACAUCUGAAAUGAUACAUAUUAAGAUAAUCUAAAAGUUUAAAUAAGCAGAUUGAUACCGAGUAUCUCCCGAAUAUUUACCUUCCCAUCAUCAACUUCUUCCCUACCUCCAAAUAAAACACAAACAAAUCCAUCCUGAGAUCAUAACGUUGUCUCAGUAUAAGUCCAACCGUAGCAAUAUUCACACACAAUAUGUAAGAGAGUUCUUUUUCGGUUCCAACAUAGAAUGCCAGGUCCCAGGUUGGUUCAUAAUAACUGUUACCAUGGAAAAACUUAGACGACAUGACAUGAUGUUUAGUCUAAAGUAAGCAUUCUUAACGAUCAUUUCAUUACGGUGUUGACUCUAUUUUCUUUCAAUAUUUUGCAAAAGUUAUUAUAACUAGUGUAUAUCUAUUUUUAGAGAGAAUAAACAUGUAUAUUUUUACCGACUUUUUUUGUAUUCAACGCAUUAACCGACGACUUUGUAAUUACACAUCAAUACUUUUACACUGAAGAUGGCCAAAAUCAAUGGCCGAAACGUCUGUACUAUUAAUUAUUAAAUUAUAUAUUGUAAGCAAAACUAACCAGUUUUGGCUCUAAUAGCGCUUUUUGUACUAUUCAUUUAUUUAUUAUAAAAAAGAACCGUCUAUAUAUCUACAUUUCUAAAUCAUAAUUUUAAAUAAUUCGGACGUUGUAACUGUCUAUAUUGUCUUUGCUGAUUAAAUUUUCAAUUGUUAAGCAAUUCAAAAUUUAAUCAGCGAAGAUGAUUUAAUGUCGGUUGUUUCAACUUCUUGGUAAAUUUACCUAUCAAGUAAAUAUAUGUUUGUCUUUAUUUAUUUAAGAAAAAAAAUGAAAAUAGACACAUGCUUACCUAGUAGAUAAGUUUACCAAGCAGUUGGAAUAACCGACCCAUAGACAGUUACGUACAACGCCCAGAUUAUGUUAAUCGCGAUAAUACUUUACCAAAACGAAAAAGAUGUGCUUUUUGCACAAGAAAAAACGACCAUAAAACAAUGAUUUAUUGGUUAAAAUGUAUACGUGCUAUGUGUAUCAAUCAUAUUGCAAAGAUCUGUUUACAACGUUCCGCUGAUCUGCCUUAAUAUUUUCUUAAAUGUUAAUUGAUUAAUAAAUGUAUUUUUUAUA